CCUACGGGUGACAGCAGUGAGGAAUAUUGGUCAAUGGGCGGAAGCCUGAACCAGCCAAGUAGCGUGCAGGAUGACGGCCCUACGGGUUGUAAACUGCUUUUAUACGGGAAUAACGCGCCUUACGUGUAGGGCUUCGCAUGGACCGUAUGAAUAAGGACCGGCCAAUUCCGUGCCAGCAGCCGCGGUAAUACGGAAGGUGCGGGCGUUAUCCGGAUUUAUUGGGUUUAAAGGGAGCGUAGGCCGUAUGUCUAGCGUGCUGUGAAAUGUCCGGGCUCAACCCGGGCCUUGCAGCGCGUACUGGCGUGCUUGAGUCCGGGGAAGGCAGGCAGAAUUCGACGUGUAGCGGUGAAAUGCUUAGAUAUGACGAAGAACACCGGUUGCGAAGGCAGCUUGCUGCAGCGGAACUGACGCUGAGGCUCGAAAGCGCGGGUAUCGAACAGGAUUAGAUACCCGUGUAGUC
rnacentral:rRNA from 1 species